CACGUAGGGGGCAAGCGUUGUCCGGAUUUAUUGGGCGUAAAGAGCUCGUAGGCGGUUCGAUAAGUCGGGUGUGAAAUCUCCAGGCUCAACCUGGAGACGCCACCCGAUACUGUUGUGACUGGAGUCCGGUAGGGGAGCGUGGAAUUCCUGGUGUAGCGGUGAAAUGCGCAGAUAUCAGGAGGAACACCGGUGGCGAAGGCGGAUCUCUGGGCCAUUACUGACGCUGAGGAGCGAAAGCGUGGGGAGCGAACAGG
rnacentral:rRNA from 1 species